rnacentral:rRNA from 1 species
GCCUGUGGCCAGACCAGACUGAUUGCAUCUGCUCUCAGAAGGUAAACAAGCCCGGGCCUGGUUAGUACCUGGAUUGGAGACCACCUUGGAAUACCGGGUGCCGUAGGCC